AGGAACCUGCCUUUCAGAGGGGGACAACAGUUGGAAACGACUGCUAAUACCGCAUAACACAUAGGUGUCGCAUGGCAUUUAUGUCAAAGAUUUAUCGCUGAAAGAUGGCCUCGCGUCUGAUUAGCUAGUUGGUGAGGUAACGGCUCACCAAGGCGACGAUCAGUAGCCGGACUGAGAGGUUGGCCGGCCACAUUGGGACUGAGAUACGGCCCAG
rnacentral:rRNA from 1 species